rnacentral:misc_RNA from 1 species
GAUGAAGAACGCAGCGCAAUGCGAUACGUAAUGUGAAUUGCAGAAUUCAGUGAAUCAUCGAGUCUUUGAACGCACAUUGCGCCCCCUGGUAUUCCGGGGGGCAUGCCUGUCCGAGCGUCAUUGCUGCCCUCAAGCACGGCUUGUGUGUUGGGCCUCCGUCCUCCUCCCGGGGGACGGGCCCGAAAGGCAGCGGCGGCACCGCGUCCGGUCCUCGAGCGUAUGGGGCAUCGUCACCCGCUCUUGUAGGCCCGGCCGGCGCUUGCCGACACAUCAAUCUUUUUUCCAGGUUGACCUCGGAUCAGGUAGGGAUACCCGCUGAACUUAAGCAUAUCAAUAAGCGGAGGA